GUGUCAGCAGCCGCGGUAAGACAGAGGGUGCAAACGUUGCUCGGAAUCACUGGGCGUAAAGGGCGUGUAGGCGGGAAGGAAAGUCAGAUGUGAAAUCCCCAGGCUCAACCUGGGAACUGCAUUUGAAACUCCCUUUCUUGAGUACCGGAGAGGAAAGUGGAAUUCCUGGUGUAGAGGUGAAAUUCGUAGAUAUCAGGAGGAACACCAGUGGCGAAGGCGGCUUUCUGGACGGUAACUGACGCUGAGACGCGAAAGCGUGGGGAGCAAACAGGAUUAGAAACCCGCGUAGUCC
rnacentral:rRNA from 1 species